rnacentral:rRNA from 1 species
UACGUAGGGUGCAAGCGUUAAUCGGAAUUACUGGGCGUAAAGCGUGCGCAGGCGGUUCGCUAAGACAGAUGUGAAAUCCCCGGGCUAACCUGGGAGCUGCAUUCGAAACUGUCUUGCUAGAGUAUGGGAGAGGGAGGUGGAAUUUCAGGUGUAGCGGUGAAAUGCGUAGAUAUCUGAAGGAACAUCAGUGGCGAAAGCGACCUCCUGGACCAAUCUGACGCUCAGGUGCGAAAGCGUGG